GAUGAACGCUGGCGGCGUGCCUAAUACAUGCGAGUCGAGCGAACAGACGAGGAGCUUGCUCCUCUGAUGUUAGCGGCGGACGGGUGAGUAACACGUGGAUAACCUACCUAUAAGACUGGGAUAACUUCGGGAAACCGGAGCUAAUACCGGAUAAUAUAUUGAACCGCAUGGUUCAAUAGUGAAAGACGGUUUUGCUGUCACUUAUAGAUGGAUCCGCGCCGCAUUAGCUAGUUGGUAAGGUAACGGCUUACCAAGGCGACGAUGCGUAGCCGACCUGAGAGGGUGAUCGGCCACACUGGAACUGAGACACGGUCCAGACUCCUACGGGAGGCAGCAGUAGGGAAUCUUCCGCAAUGGGCGAAAGCCUGACGGAGCAACGCCGCGUGAGUGAUGAAGGUCUUCGGAUCGUAAAACUCUGUUAUUAGGGAAGAACAAAUGUGUAAGUAACUAUGCACGUCUUGACGGUACCUAAUCAGAAAGCCACGGCUAACUACGUG
rnacentral:rRNA from 1 species